AACGCACAUUGCGCCCUUUGGUAUUCCACAGGGCACACCCGUUCGAGCGUCAUUACAACACUCAGGCCCUGCCUGGUAUUGGGUGCCGCCCUUUCGAGGGCGCCCCUCAAACUCAUCGGCGUCGCCGACCGUCCUCGAGCGCAGCGAGAAUACAAUUUUCAGCGUCAUCGAGGGGGUCCCGCGACCGCCGGAAGACAAUUCACUCUUCACGUUUGACCUCGGAUCGGGUGGGGAUACCCGCUGAACUUAA
rnacentral:misc_RNA from 1 species